rnacentral:rRNA from 1 species
AUGUGCAACACGCGAAGAAACGUUUUUCUUCAAUCCAUGAAGACUAACACUCUAAGUGUGAAGAAAUUAACGAAGAAUUUGAUUCUCAGAACCCUCCGACAAUUGUACGCGGUGUCUGAAAUCAUCAUUCUUAUACGGUGGGUCACGCCACCAUCAAAAGUUGAAAAUCUUCAAUUUGAGUUUUUUUUCCUCAUUUUUGAAAUUCCUCAGUUGUUCAAAUUCUUCAACUUUGCAAUGUCUUCACUCUUUCCGAUGUUGUUCUUUGUUGGCUAUGUAUAUAUGAGUUUAUGUCCUCUACAACAUUCACUUAUUGCUAUUUCUUCAAGAUGCUUUUUCCUGCUAAGUGAAUGUGAUCGGACCCUUCCCCCUCUAUGCUAA